CCUACGGGCGGCAGCAGUGAGGAAUAUUGGUCAAUGGGCGCGAGCCUGAACCAGCCAAGUCGCGUGAGGGAUGAAGGUGCUAUGGAACGUAAACCUCUUUUAUAAGGGAAUAAAGUGUGGGACGUGUCCUAUUUUGUAUGUACCUUAUGAAUAAGGAUCGGCUAACUCCGUGCCAGCAGCCGCGGUAAUACGGAGGAUCCGAGCGUUAUCCGGAUUUAUUGGGUUUAAAGGGUGCGUAGGCGGCCUUUUAAGUCAGCGGUGAAAGUCUGUGGCUCAACCAGAGAAUUGACGUUGCAACGGGGGGGCUUGCUUAUGUUUGCGGCAGGCGGACUGCGUGGUGUAGCGGU
rnacentral:rRNA from 1 species